rnacentral:rRNA from 1 species
GAUGAACGCUGGCGGCGUGCCUAAUACAUGCAAGUCGAGCGAACGGACGAGAAGCUUGCUUCUCUGAUGUUAGCGGCGGACGGGUGAGUAACACGUGGAUAACCUACCUAUAAGACUGGGAUCACUUCGGGAAACCGGCUCUAAUACCGGAUAAUAUUUUGCACCGCAUGGUUCAAAAGUGAAAGACGGUCUUGCUGUCACUUAUAGAGGGAUCCGCGCUGCAUUGGCUGGUUGUUAAGGUCACAGCUUACCAAGGCAACGAGGCAUAGCCGAGCUGAUAGGGUGAUCGGCCACACGGGAACUGGGACACGCUCCAGACUCCUACGGUAGGCAGCAGUAGGGAAUCUUCCGCAAUGGUCGAAAGCCUUACGGAGCAACGCCGCGUGAGUGAUGAAGGUCUUCGGAUCGUAAAACUCUGUUAUUAGUGAAGAACAGAUGUGUAAGUAACUGUGCACAUCUUGACGGUACCUAAUCAGAAAGCCACGGCUAACUACGUG